CAAAGCUUGGCCACGCCUGAGGUUCCUUCACCAUUGCUAUCAGUUCCUUACAAUCUGUCCCGAAUCUCUGGCAGCUCGAAUGUUGCAGCAUAUUCUCCAUCGCCCAUCGCAGUGCCUCUACUUCCGAGUGCAAAGCUGAUUCCCGCCGAGUGAAAUUCCUUGUCCCCAUAAGCUGCACAUUCCCAGACCCAUCCAUCCACACCCAUCCGCAUCCACUAAAGUUAGCAGAAGAUGUCCAAGAUCCAUCUAGCAAGCAGAUAUUUCCCAAGCUUAUGGCUUGGGGCUCCUCAUCUGUAUUAGCUUGUGUUACAGGUUGUACCACUUCCUUAGCAUCAAACCAUGCUUGACAUUCGCU
rnacentral:lncRNA from 1 species